CCUACGGGAGGCAGCAGUGGGGAAUAUUGGGCAAUGGGGGGAACCCUGAUCCAGCGACGCCGCGUGAGUGAUGAAGUAUUUCGGUAUGUAAAGCUCUAUCAGCAGGGACGAAAGAAGUGACUGUACCUGCCUAAUAAGCCCCGGCUAACUACGUGCCAGCAGCCGCGGUAAUACGUAGGGGGCAAGCGUUAUCCGGAUUUACUGGGCGUAAAGGGAGCGUAGGCGGCUUUGCAAGUCGGAAGUGAAAGCCCGGGGCGCAACCUCCGGACUGCUUUCGAAACUGUAUGGCUGGAGUGCAGGAGAGGUGAGUGGAAUUCCUAGUGUAGCGGUGAAAUGCGUAGAUAUUAGGAGGAACACCAGCGGCGAAGGCGGCUUACUGGACUGUAACUGACGUUGAGGCUCGAAAGCGUGGGGAGCAAACAGGAUUAGAUACCCGGGUAGUC
rnacentral:rRNA from 1 species